rnacentral:ncRNA from 1 species
CAAAAGGUUUGGUCCUGGCCUUAAUAUUAAUUAUAACUAUAAUUAUACAUGCAAGUUUCAGCAUCCCCGUGAGAAUGCCCUUAUUAAUCUAUUAAUUAAUAAGGAGCUGGUAUUAGGCACACAAAAUGUAGCCCAAGACACCUUGCUAAGCCACACCCCCAAGGGAUUUCAGCAGUAAUAAACAUUGAUUCCAUAAUCGCAAGCUUGAAUCAGUUAAAGUAAAAUAGGAUUGGUAAAUCUCGUGCCAGCCACCGCGGUUAUACGAGUAACCCAAAUUAAUAUCCCCGGCGUAAAGGGUGGUUUAAAAAAAUCUUGAACAAUUAAAGUUAAGAUAUCAUCAAACUGUUAUACGUAUUUAUGAAUGAAAUAAUCAAUUACGAAAGUAACUUUAUAAAAUAAUAGAACUCUUGACACCACGACAGGUAAGCCCCAAACUGGGAUUAGAUACCCCACUAUGCCUACCCAUAAAAUUAGAUAAUAAUUUACCUUAUUAUUCGCCAGAAUACUACAAGCGCUAGCUUAAAAUCCAAAGGACUUGGCGGUGCUUCAAACCCACCUAGAGGAGCCUGUUCUAUAACCGAUAAUCCCCGUUAAACCCCACCACCCCUUGCCAUUACCGCCUAUAUACCACCGUCGUCAGCUCACCCUAUGAAGGUUAUAAAAGUAAGCAAAAAGAAUUAAACUCCCAUACGUCAGGUCGAGGUGUAGCGAAUGGGGUGGAAAGAAAUGGGCUACAUUUUCUAUUAAGAAAAUACGGACAGUAAACUGAAAAAUUACUCCAAGGUGGAUUUAGCAGUAAGAAGAAAUAAGAAUAUUUUACUGAAGUUGGCUCUGAAGCGCGCACACACCGCCCGUCACUCUCCUCGCCAUAAACACUACCAUUAUAUAAAAAAAUUUUAUUAAAAGAGGAGGCAAGUCGUAACAUGGUAAGUGUACUGGAAAGUGCACUUGGAAU